rnacentral:rRNA from 1 species
AUUGAACGCUGGCGGCAGGCCUAACACAUGCAAGUCGAACGGUAGCACAGAGAGCUUGCUCUCGGGUGACGAGUGGCGGACGGGUGAGUAACGUCUGGGAAACUGCCCGAUGGAGGGGGAUAACUACUGGAAACGGUAGCUAAUACCGCAUAACGUCGCAAGACCAAAGUGGGGGACCUUCGGGCCUCACACCAUCGGAUGUGCCCAGAUGGGAUUAGCUAGUAGGUGGGGUAAUGGCUCACCUAGGCGACGAUCCCUAGCUGGUCUGAGAGGAUGACCAGCCACACUGGAACUGAGACACGGUCCAGACUCCGACGGGAGGCGGCAGUGGGGAAUAUUGCACAAUGGGCGCAAGCCUGAUGCAGCCAUGCCGCGUGUAUGAAGAAGGCCUUCGGGUUGUAAAGUACUUUCAGCGGGGAGGAAGGCGGUGAAGUUAAUAGCUUCACCGAUUGACGUUACCCGCAGAAGAAGCACCGGCUAACUCCGUGCCAGCAGCCGCCGUAA